rnacentral:rRNA from 1 species
UUGCCUACGGGGCGCAGCAGUGAGGAAUAUUGGUCAAUGGGCGGAAGCCUGAACCAGCCAAGUCGCGUGAGGGAAGAAGGCCCUGCGGGUCGCAGACCUCUUUGGACGGGGAGCAAGGCCGCCGACGUGUCGGCGGAAGGAGAGUACCCGUAGAACAAGCAUCGGCUAACUCCGUGCCAGCAGCCGCGGUAAUACGGAGGGUGCGAGCGUUAAUCGGAAUUACUGGGCGUAAAGCGCUCGUAGGCGGUAUGUCAAGUCAAGGGUGAAAUCCCCGCGCUCAACGUGGGAACUGCCUUUGAAACUGG